CUUGACAUCCAGCGAAUUCGGUAGAGAUACCUUAGUGCCUUCGGGAACGCUGAGACAGGUGCUGCAUGGCUGUCGUCAGCUCGUGUUGUGAAAUGUUGGGUUAAGUCCCGCAACGAGCGCAACCCUUAUCCUUUGUUGCCAGCGGUCCGGCCGGGAACUCAAAGGAGACUGCCAGUGAUAAACUGGAGGAAGGUGGGGAUGACGUCAAGUCAUCAUGGCCCUUACGAGUAGGGCUACACACGUGCUACAAUGGCGCAUACAAAGAGAAGCGACCUCGCGAGAGCAAGCGGACCUCAUAAAGUGCGUCGUAGUCCGGAUUGGAGUCUGCAACUCGACUCCAUGAAGUCGGAAUCGCUAGUAAUCGUAGAUCAGAAUGCUACGGUGAAUACGUUCCCGGGCCUUGUACACACCGCCCGUCACACCAUGGGAGUGGGUUGCAAAAGAAGUAGGUAGCUUAACCUUCGGGAGGGCGCUUACCACUUUGUGAUUCAUGACUGGGGUGAAGUCGUAACAAGGUAAGCGUAGACGU
rnacentral:rRNA from 1 species